rnacentral:rRNA from 1 species
UACAGAGGGUGCGAGCGUUAAUCGGAAUUACUGGGCGUAAAGCGCGCGUAGGUGGUUUUAUAAGUCGGGUGUGAAAGCCCCGGGCUCAACCUGGGAACUGCAUUCGAGACUGUAAGACUAGAGUAUGGGAGAGGGCAGUGGAAUUUCCGGUGUAGCGGUGAAAUGCGUAGAUAUCGGAAGGAACAUCAGUGGCGAAAGCGACUGCCUGGCCCAAUACUGACACUCAUGUGCGAAAGCGUGGGGAGCAAACAGG